AGCACCUUCAUGUGAUCAAGAUCUCACAUGAUCUUAAAAGCUAAACAGGGUAGGGCCUGGUUAGAGAUUGGAUGGGAGACCACCUGGGAGUACAGGAUGUAUAGGCUU
rnacentral:rRNA from 1 species